GACGAACGCUGGCGGCACGCUUAACACAUGCAAGUCGAACGGAGAACAUUGAGCUUGCUUAAUGUUCUUAGUGGCGGACGGGUGAGUAACACGUGAGUAACCUGCCUCUGAGAGUGGGAUAGCUUCUGGAAACGGAUGGUAAUACCGCAUAACAUCAUGGAUUCGCAUGUUUCUGUGAUCAAAGAUUUAUCGCUUAGAGAUGGACUCGCGUCUGAUUAGCUAGUUGGUAAGGUAACGGCUUACCAAGGCGACGAUCAGUAGCCGGACUGAGAGGUUGAUCGGCCACAUUGGGACUGAGACACGGCCCAGACUCCUACGGGAGGCAGCAGUGGGGAAUAUUGCACAAUGGGGGAAACCCUGAUGCAGCGAUGCCGCGUGGAGGAAGAAGGUUUUCGGAUUGUAAACUCCUGUUGAAGAGGACGAUAAUGACGGUACUCUUUAGAAAGCUCCGGC
rnacentral:rRNA from 1 species